AUUGAACGCUGGCGGCAGGCCUAACACAUGCAAGUCGAACGAGUGGCGGACGGGUGAGUAAUGUCUGGGAAACUGCCUGAUGGAGGGGGAUAACUACUGGAAACGGUAGCUAAUACCGCAUACCAUCAGAUGGGCCCAGAUGGGCUUAGCUUGUUGGUGGGGUAACGGCUCACCAAGGCGCAUGUCCCUAGCUGGUCUGAGAGGAUGACCAACCACACUGGAACUGAGACACGGUCCAGACGCCUACGGUAGGCAGCAGUGGGGAAUAUGGCACAAUGGUCGCAAGCCUGAUGCAGCCAUGCCGCGUGUAUGAAGAAGGCCUUCGGGUUGUAAAGUACUUUCAGCGGGGAGGCGUUACCCGCAGAAGAAGCACCGGCUAACUCCGUGCCAGCAGCCGCGGUAAUUC
rnacentral:rRNA from 1 species